AUUGAACGCUGGCGGCAUGCCUUACACAUGCAAGUCGAACGGCAGCACGGGUGCUUGCCCCUGGUGGCGAGUGGCGAACGGGUGAGUAAUACAUCGGAACAUGUCCUGUAGUGGGGGAUAGCCCGGCGAAAGCCGGAUUAAUACCGCAUACGAUCUACGGAUGAAAGCGGGGGCCCUUCGGGCCUGGCGCUAUAGGGUUGGCCGAUGGCUGAUUAGCUAGUUGGUGGGGUAAAGGCCUACCAAGGCGACGAUCAGUAGCUGGUCUGAGAGGACGACUAGCCACACUGGGACUGAGACACGGCCCAGACUCCUACGGGAGGCAGCAGUGGGGAAUUUUGGACAAUGGGCGAAAGCCUGAUCCAGCAAUGCCGCGUGUGUGAAGAAGGCCUUCGGGUUGUAAAGCACUUUUGUCCGGAAAGAAAUACUUGGCCCUAAUACGGUCGGGGGAUGACGGUACCGGAAGAAUAAGCACCGGCUAACUACGUG
rnacentral:rRNA from 1 species